AUUGAACGCUGGCGGCAGGCCUAACACAUGCAAGUCGAGCGAGCGGCGGACGGGUGAGUAAGGUAUGGGGACUGCCCGAUAGAGGGGGAUAACUACUGGAAACGGUAGCUAAUACCGCAUACUAUCGGAUAACCCAUAUGGGAUUGGCUAGUAGGUGCGGUAAUGGCUCACCUAGGCGACGAUCCCUAGCGGGUCUGAGAGGUUGAUCAGCCACACUGGGACUGAGACACGGCCCAGACUCCUACGGAGGCAGCAGUGGGGAAUAUUGCACAAUGGGCGAAAGCCUGAUGCAGCCAUGCCGCGUGUAUGAAGAAGGCCCUAGGGUUGUAAAGUACUUUCAGUCGGGAGGCGUUACCGAAAGAAGAAGCACCGGCUAACUCCGUGCCAGCCGCCGCGGUAAUAC
rnacentral:rRNA from 1 species